GUCUGUUACUAGUCCCUUCAUAUGUGCAACAAAUUGAAUGACAAUUUUUGAUGCGUUAUCUCCAUAAUGCGUAACAAAAAAUAUGCAGCUCAAGUCCUCCCCUUGAAUAUAUUUUGAAUUCUGUUGUUUUUCAGUUUUCAUGUCCCUAAGCCACUGAUGCAAGUGAAAUGCUAGUCAACACCCAUUUCCCAAUCUUAAGGGGACACUAUAGGCACCAACACAACUUCUACUCAUUGGCUGUG